rnacentral:rRNA from 1 species
AGAGUUUGAUCCUGGCUCAGAACGAACGCUGGCGGCAGGCUUAACACAUGCAAGUCGAACGGUCUCUUCGGAGGCAGUGGCAGACGGGUGAGUAACGCGUGGGAACAUACCUUUCGGUACGGAACAACAGUUGGAAACGACUGCUAAUACCGUAUACGCCCUUCGGGGGAAAGAUUUAUCGCCGAGAGAUUGGCCCGCGUUGGAUUAGCUAGUUGGUGGGGUAAUGGCCUACCAAGGCGACGAUCCAUAGCUGGUCUGAGAGGAUGAUCAGCCACACUGGGACUGAGACACGGCCCAGACUCCUACGGGAGGCAGCAGUGGGGAAUAUUGGACAAUGGGGGCAACCCUGAUCCAGCCAUGCCGCGUGAGUGAUGAAGGCCCUAGGGUUGUAAAGCUCUUUCAGCGAGGAGGAUAAUGACGUUACUCGCAGAAGAAGCCCCGGCUAACUUCGUGCCAGCCGCCGCGGUAAUUC